rnacentral:lncRNA from 1 species
UUAGUCCCAAGUCAAUGAUUAUAUUCAUGGUUUUGGAUAUGCCUUUGGUCCUGGUCAUCUGAACAACCAAACCCCCUGUGUUUCAAGCCACUUUCUGGUCAAGCCAUUAGUUCAUGGACACUGUAUCAAAACCCUAACCUUAUGGUCUCAUUUGAUGGCCUUGUUCAUGUACAUUAUCAAUCAAGUUAUUUUUCAAAAGUCCAACAUCCAAGUCAUAAAACAAAAAAAAUUGGAAACCAACUUCAAACCAUU